CCUACGGGUGGCAGCAGUGGGGGAUAUUGCACAAUGGGGGGAACCCUGAUGCAGCGACGCCGCGUGGGUGAAGAAGCGCCUCGGCGCGUAAAGCCCUGUCAGCAGGGAAGAAAAUGACGGUACCUGAAGAAGAAGCCGCGGCCGCCUCCGUGCCAGCAGCCGCGGGACUGCGUAGGGGGCAAGCGUUAGCCGGAUUUACUGGGUGUAAAGGGGGCGCAGACGGCGGUGCAAGCCAGGAGUGAAAGCCCGGGGCCCACCCCCGGGACUGCUCUUGGAACUGCGUGGCUGGAGUGCAGGAGGGGCAGGCGGAAUUCCUGGUGUAGCGGUGAAAUGCGUAGAUAUCAGGAGGAACACCGGUGGCGAAGGCGGCCUGCUGGACUGCAACUGACGUUGCGGCCCGAAAGCGUGGGGAGCAAACAGGAUUAGAUACCCCUGUAGUC
rnacentral:rRNA from 1 species